rnacentral:rRNA from 1 species
ACGAACGCUGGCGGCGUGCCUAAUACAUGCAAGUCGAACGAAACUUUCUUACACCGAAUGCUUGCAUUCACCGUAAGAAGUUGAGUGGCGGACGGGUGAGUAACACGUGGGUAACCUGCCUAAAAGAAGGGGAUAACACUUGGAAACAGGUGCUAAUACCGUAUAUCUCUAAGGAUCGCAUGAUCCUUAGAUGAAAGAUGGUUCUGCUAUCGCUUUUAGAUGGACCCGCGGCGUAUUAACUAGUUGGUGGGGUAACGGCCUACCAAGGUGAUGUUACGUAGCCGAACUGAGAGGUUGAUCGGCCACAUUGGGACUGAGACACGGCCCAAACUCCUACGGGAGGCAGCAGUAGGGAAUCUUCCACAAUGGACGCAAGUCUGAUGGAGCAACGCCGCGUGAGUGAAGAAGGUCUUCGGAUCGUAAAACUCUGUUGUUAGAGAAGAACACGAGUGAGAGUAACUGUUCAUUCGAUGACGGUAUCUAACCAGCAAGUCACGGCUAACUACGUGCCAGCAGCCGCGGUAAUACGUAGGUGGCAAGCGUUGUCCGGAUUUAUUGGGCGUAAAGGGAACGCAGGCGGUCUUUUAAGUCUGAUGUGAAAGCCUUCGGCUUAACCGGAGUAGUGCAUUGGAAACUGGAAGACUUGAGUGCAGAAGAGGAGAGUGGAACUCCAUGUGUAGCGGUGAAAUGCGUAGAUAUAUGGAAGAACACCAGUGGCGAAAGCGGCUCUCUGGUCUGUAACUGACGCUGAGGUUCGAAAGCGUGGGUAGCAAACAGGAUUAGAUACCCUGGUAGUCCACGCCGUAAACGAUGAAUGCUAGGUGUUGGAGGGUUUCCGCCCUUCAGUGCCGCAGCUAACGCAAUAAGCAUUCCGCCUGGGGAGUACGACCGCAAGGUUGAAACUCAAAGGAAUUGACGGGGGCCCGCACAAGCGGAGGAACAUGUGGUUUAAUUCGAUGAUACGCGAGGAACCUUACCCGGGCUUGAAUUGCAACUGAAUGAUGUGGAGACAUGUCAGCCGCAAGGCAGUUGUGAAGGUGCUGCAUGGUUGUCGUCAGCUCGUGUCGUGAGAUGUUGGGUUAAGUCCCGCAACGAGCGCAACCCUUGUUGUCAGUUGCCAGCAUUAAGUUGGGCACUCUGGCGAGACUGCCGGUGACAAACCGGAGGAAGGUGGGGACGACAUCAAGUCAUCAUGCCCCUUAUGACCUGGGCUACACACGUGCUACAAUGGACGGUAAAACCAGUCGCGAGACCGCGAGGUUUAGCUAAUCUCUUAAAGCCGUUCUCAGUUCGGAUUGUAGGCUGUAACUCGCCUACAUGAAGUCGGAAUCGCUAGUAAUCGCGAAUCAGCAUGUCGCGGUGAAUACGUUCCCGGGCCUUGUACACACCGCCCGUCACACCAUGAGAGUUUGUAACACCCAAAGCCGGUGGGGUAACCGCAAGGAGCCAGCCGUCUAAGGUGGGACAGAUGAUUGGGGUG